AGCCGCGCCCCCAGCCGUAUUUCCGCGGGCGCUGAGCACUAGAGAGAGCGUCUUGUGGCUGCGGCCUGCCCCUCAGCCUCCUCCGCGCGGUUACCCCUGUACCCGCCGCCAUCCGUCCUGGCGCUCCGGAUGAGUCAAUGAGGGGCAGGGCCCGAGGAGUGGUCUUCCCAAGAACCCCUGGUGGCCUCCCAAGGCCGGUGCUGUGUACCUCCUCCCCGACAAAAGGGGAAACUGAGGCCCCGAGGGGAGUGGGAAGAGCCGGCUGGACGUCAGGCCCAGCCGCUGGUGCAGUGGUCCGUCCCCUCUGCCGGGGUGGGCCCCUCGGGUUUCGCGUGUCCUCGGGAAAGAGACUGGCGGGCCUCGUGGGCUGUGCGGCUAUCCUGGAGACAGAUGACAGCUCUCCCUUGGAUGGCUUUGCUGGUUCCGCACCAGCCAGCGCCCCCAUUUUUCCUGCAGCACCCUGAUCUGCACUCCCUGAGGGGCUCCCACUGUCCGCGGUGUGAGGAUGUCCCUGGUCCACUGUGUGCAGAGGCAUGGGAGUUGUCAUGUUGGGAACAUGCUAGACCUCAGUAUCCUUGAGCUUGAAGAAAGACGACAGAACACUGGAGACCAAGUACUUACAGCCUUCUGCUCUGUGGCCCCUCCUCACUCCAGGGAUGCUGCCUUGGGUCUGGAAACUGUUAGAGGAAACCCCAAGAGGUGCAGGCACUGAGCCUCUCAGGACAAUGACCUGGGGUCCCAGCUCCCCUGGAGGGGCCUCCUCAUGAUUGUUUGGGGGUUGAUCACAGACCAAGAGUGACGAGUGAUGUCACCCUGUGACUCAUGGCUGGACCUUCUUGCCCCUAUUGUCUCAGCACAACAUUAUUCGACUUUUCCCUCAGCGUGGGUGGGCAGAGGAAAAGCCCUGUGGCUCUGGGGACUUGGGAUCCAGAGUUGAAGACCCUUCAGCUGGCUCUGCCCUGCCAGUGCCACAGAGUGCCAUGGCCCAGGAAGACAGGUUUUCUUCCAUCUAGGCCAGGCCAUCCAGUGGCCAUCCUCCGUGUCCUCCCGCCUCCUCCUGGUGUGACUUCUGAAAACCAAGAAUUUGUUCCUGUUGACUUUUUCUGUGCUAUGGACCAUUGUCCUCUCACCCACUCAAUAAAUCUUGAAACAUGC
rnacentral:lncRNA from 1 species